GACGAACCACACGAACGUUAUUCGGAAUUACUGGGCUUAAAGGGUGCGUAGGCGGCGUAGAAAGUUGGGUGUGAAAUCCCUCGGCUCAACCGAGGAACUGCGCCCAAAACUACUAUGCUUGAGGAAGAUAGAGGUAAGCGGAACUUACGGUGGAGCGGUGAAAUGCGCAGAUAUCAGGAGGAACACCAAUUGCGAAGGCAGCUCGCUGGGACGUAACUGACGCUGAGACGCGAAAGCGUGGGGAGCAAACAGG
rnacentral:rRNA from 1 species